AAAAAAAAGAAAAAUGAAAAUAUGUAAAACAGUUGCUUUUCAUCACAGAUUCCUAAGGUAAGCGGUAAAGAUUCCUGCCUCCCAUCUCUUGCAUUAUUUUUAAAAAAUGAACAAUGUCCAUCAUUUUCUGUUUUUUCUUCAGGUACAAAAAUAUCUAUAACACAAGCACAAGAAAAGGAAUGUAUUCUGCUAGGAAUAGCUAGCUGUGGGACCAGGUAUUAUGUUCAAUGUUACUCAGCUAUUUCCCUUGGAAAUAAUGUUUUGCCCAAAACCUGACGUCGACGUCAAACGCCAGCAAAUUGCCCCCUGCAACGUUUGGCGGUGGAAACCCUGCGUUUCACAGUAGGCGAUAAAAUGAGCCCUCAACCGUGACCAGGGAGAGGAGUCGGUGGAAGAAGAUUGGAAGAAAUUUAAAGAUUAUCUGCAGAAACAUUGCAAAAUUAAAGAAUGUUAGAGUGAUGAUGGAUUGAAAUUAAGUGGCUUCUAGCUGUACAGGCUUUAAAGAUAUAUAUAGAUCAAGAUUAAGGAUUAGGAUUAAAAAAGUUAAAAGAAAUGGAAAAUUGGCUUUUAAUAGGUUAAAAUUUAAGGUUAUAUUAUAUUAAGAUUAAGGUUUGGGAUUAAAAAAGAGGGAAAGAAAUUGCUGGACAAACAAAUUGAACUGGAAUACAAAAGAGGGAGGUAUGAAUUUCUUUUCAAACACAUUUUUAUGAGGUUUUGACUAGUGUACACAUUUUUGCAAGCAGUCCCUCCUAAACUAAUGAAUUUUCUAUGUUAUUUUCACUAAUACGUACUUUUUUAUACACAAUUUCUCCUAUUGUAUACCUUUUGAUAAACACAGUUUGUAAAAUUUGGAUAAGUGCGAAUUCCAAAGGAUAGCUGUUUCAGUUCAUGUAUUGUUUCAAGAAGUGUGAAAUCGUUAUAUUUGCCUUUAAAUAUGAACUGGAUUGCAUCCUUCCCCCAAUCCCCAGGCAUCACUGAAGUAUUUAUUUAUGAAACUAUUGACAUUCCUGUGCAACUUACGCUUCAUUUUAAAGGCUCGCUAGUUAUGCUAAAUAAAAUAUACUAAAAAGGUAAAAAAAAAAAGAAAAAAGAGGGAGGUAUGAGGAGGUCCAGAAAAUAAGUAAAUUUAAAAGUGGUGACGAAAAGGUGGC